rnacentral:pre_miRNA from 11 species
AUAUAUAUAUAUAUAUAUAUAUAUAUGUGUGUGUGUGUGUGUGUGUGUGUGUGUGUGUACACACACACAUACACACAUGCAUAUAUACAUAUAUAC